rnacentral:misc_RNA from 1 species
UGGCUCUCGCAUCGAUGAAGAACGCAGCGAAAUGCGAUAAGUAAUGCGAAUUGCAGAAUUCAGUGAAUCAUCGAAUCUUUGAACGCAUCUUGCGCCCCUUGGUAUUCCGAGGGGCAUGCCUGUUUGAGUGUCAUUUAAUUCUCAACCCUAACCAUCUUUGUUGAUGAUCAGGUUUGGAUCUGGAGGUGUAUGCAGACUAUUGUGGUCAGCUCCUCUAAAAUGCAUUAGUGGUGCCUUUGUGGAUUCAACCGACUAUUGGUGUGAUAACUAUCUAUGCCAUUGGCUCGUGCCACCUAUAAAGUGCAAUACCGCUGUCUAACCGUCUAUGAAUGUAGACAACUUGACCAACUUGACCUCAAAUCAGGUAGGAUUACCCGCUGA